UGGGGAAUAUUGCACAAUGGGCGCAAGCCUGAUGCAGCCAUGCCGCGUGUGUGAAGAAGGCCUUCGGGUUGUAAAGCACUUUCAGCGAGGAGGAAGGGUUCAGUGUUAAUAGCACUGUUCAUUGACGUUACUCGCAGAAGAAGCACCGGCUAACUCCGUGCCAGCAGCCGCGGUAAUACGGAGGGUGCAAGCGUUAAUCGGAAUUACUGGGCGUAAAGCGCACGCAGGCGGUUUGUUAAGUCAGAUGUGAAAUCCCCGCGCUUAACGUGGGAACUGCAUUUGAAACUGGCAAGCUAGAGUCUUGUAGAGGGGGGUAGAAUUCCAGGUGUAGCGGUGAAAUGCGUAGAGAUCUGGAGGAAUACCGGUGGCGAAGGCGGCCCCCUGGACAAAGACUGACGCUCAGGUGCGAAAGCGUG
rnacentral:rRNA from 1 species